AAACUUAAAUGAAUUGACGGGGAGCACCACAACAGGUGGAGCCUGCGGUUUAAUCGGACUCAACGCCGGGAAACUCACCAGAUAAGACAGCUGAAUGAUAGUCGGGCUGAAGACUCUACUUUGACUAGCUGAGAGGAGGUGCAUGGCCGUCGUCAGUUCGUACUGUGAAGCAUCCUGUUAAGUCAGGCAACGAGCGAGACCCACGCCCACAGUUGCCAGCGUACUCUCCGGAGUGACGGGUACACUGUGGGACCGCCGCUGCUAAAGCGGAGGAAGGAAUGGGCAACGGUAGGUCAGUAUGCCCCGAAUAUCCCGGGCUACACGCGAGCUACAAUGGUUGGUACAAUGGGUAUCUACCCCGAAAGGGGACGGGAAUCUCCUAAAACCAAUCUUAGUUCGGAUUGAGGGCUGCAACUCGCCCUCAUGAAGCUGGAAUCCGUAGUAAUCGCGUUUCAACAGAACGCGGUGAAUACGUCCCCUGCUCCUU
rnacentral:rRNA from 1 species